rnacentral:rRNA from 1 species
AGUGAACGCUGGCGGUAGGCCUAACACAUGCAAGUCGAACGGCAGCACAGUAAGAGCUUGCUCUUACGGGUGGCGAGUGGCGGACGGGUGAGGUAUACAUCGGAAUCUACUUUUUCGUGGGGGAUAACGUAGGGAAACUUACGCUAAUACCGCAUACGACCUACGGGUGAAAGCAGGGGAUCUUCGGACCUUGCGCGAUUGAAUGAGCCGAUGUCGGAUUAGCUAGUUGGCGGGGUAAAGGCCCACCAAGGCGACGAUCCGUAGCUGGUCUGAGAGGAUGAUCAGCCACACUGGAACUGAGACACGGUCCAGACUCCUACGGGAGGCAGCAGUGGGGAAUAUUGGACAAUGGGCGCAAGCCUGAUCCAGCCAUACCGCGUGAGUGAAGAAGGCCUUCGGGUUGUAAAGCCCUUUUGUUGGGAAAGAAAAGCAGCAGGUUAAUACCCCGCUGUUCUGACGGUACCCAAAGAAUAAGCACCGGCUAACUUCGUG